AACGAACGCUGGCGGCAUGCCUAACACAUGCAAGUCGAACGAGACCUUCGGGUCUAGUGGCGCACGGGUGCGUAACGCGUGGGAACCUGCCCUUAGGUUCGGAAUAACUCCCCGAAAGGGGUGCUAAUACCGGAUAAUGUCUUCGGCCCAAGGAUUUAUCGCCUUUGGAUGGGCCCGCGUUGGAUUAGCUAGUUGGUAGGGUAAAAGCCUACCAAGGCGACGAUCCAUAGCUGGUCUGAGAGGAUGAUCAGCCACACUGGGACUGAGACACGGCCCAGACUCCUACGGGAGGCAGCAGUGGGGAAUAUUGGACAAUGGGCGAAAGCCUGAUCCAGCAAUGCCGCGUGAGUGAUGAAGGCCGUAGGGUUGUAAAGCUCUUUUACCCGGGAUGAUAAUGACAGUACCGGGAGAAUAAGCUCCGGCUAACUCCGUG
rnacentral:rRNA from 1 species